rnacentral:lncRNA from 1 species
UCCCCUCAAAAAUGGCAAUGUGAGCAGAGGAAGGAAGCUGAUAUGGUCGAAGAAGGCAAGGAGAAGCAAGGAGCAGAGAGAGAAGACAAGAAAAACAUGGAUGCAGGCAAGGAGAAGCAAGGAGCAGGAACAGAUCAGAGGGCACAAAGCACUCACCAGGGUAUGCAUGCUUCUCCCCUCUCCGGAUCUAGGAUUCUUGUCUCUCCUUGCCCAGAUCAUGCAUUCUUGUCUCUGUUCUUGUACUAUCUUGCCCUUUUAUUCUUCAGAAUUCUAUUGUCAAAACACAAAAAGGCAAAAAAGGAAGUCAAUAAUAAACAUACAGAACAACCCCCAUAGGAGCAAAUUCGUAAAAAAACAUGGAGCUUUCUUCCUAGGUGCUGCAUCCUUCAUAUACCUGACAAAGAAACUCUUGACAUUGAUUGCAGCUGUUCUUGAUCCCUAUGGAGCUACUAUGUUUGGUUCUCGGGUUAGUGACUACAAAAAAAAGCAAAUGAAAUUUAAAUGAACUUCUGAAUCUUGCUUGAACUAUUCUGGUUAUUUGGUUACGGAAAUUUCAUGUCUGAUCUGUUGUACUAUUAUGGGGAAACACAAAAAAACACAG